GACGAACGCUGGCGGCGUGCUUAACACAUGCAAGUCGAACGGAAAGGCCCUGCUUUUGUGGGGUGCUCGAGUGGCGAACGGGUGAGUAACACGUGAGUAACCUGCCCUUGACUUUGGGAUAACUUCAGGAAACUGGGGCUAAUACCGGAUAGGAGCUCCUGCUGCAUGGUGGGGGUUGGAAAGUUUCGGCGGUUGGGGAUGGACUCGCGGGUUAUCAGCUUGUUGGUGGGGUAGUGGCUUACCAAGGCUUUGACGGGUAGCCGGCCUGAGAGGGUGACCGGCCACAUUGGGACUGAGAUACGGCCCAGACUCCUACGGGAGGCAGCAGUGGAGAAUAUUGCACAAUGGGCGGAAGCCUGAUGCAGCAACGCCGCGUGCGGGAUGACGGCCUUCGGGUUGUAAACCGCUUUCGCCUGUGACGAAGCGUGAGUGACGGUAAUGGGUAAAGAAGCACCGGCUAACUACGUG
rnacentral:rRNA from 1 species